rnacentral:lncRNA from 1 species
AGGAUACCUUAGCCUUAGAAGAGACUUUUCAGAAAUCCAAGUUCAUUAGACAUUUUUCCUUUCUCUCUCUAAAAAAACCUUUUUCCCUAAAAGGUUUUCUGUCUUCUCUCUAAAAUAACAUUAUGUUGAACCGUUAAAUUUCUAGUUUCAAGGUGCCUAAGCGUUCACGACAACAAGGGCUUCACUUUGAACCGAUUAGUUUCUUCGUCUCCUUCCAUUCCAGUAAGUGAUUUUCCUGUUUCCUCCGUUAUUUUCGAAACCUAAGAUUUGGGGUUUUAUUGAUUUCAUGCAGUUAAAACCCUCCCUUUUCUAAUUCCUAUUAUACUCUAGCUCUAAGAGAUGAUUUCAUCACCAUUUUGGUGAUUAUAGGUCCGGUUGAUCUUGUCUCUACUUACUGUCUUGAGGUCUUGUGAAUUGUUCUGUGUAACCAAAAGGUAAGGGAGUUAACAUUGUUUUGUUGUUGUGUUUAUUUAUGAUUUUGUAAAUUAUGGGAAUGGGCAUACGGGAAAAUUAUUCAUAUGAUUGCUUUAUGUGACAUUCCAUACCUUGACCAAUUUAUAUAAUUAUUUUCUGGUUUUUCAUGAUAUUGAAAGGUACCCUUGAUUGAUUGAGGGGUGUGUACAAUGCGAAGUUCUAUUUUCGUUAUGAGUCGUUUAUGGUCGUGGUGAUGAUUUAGUUCUGUUGCUUUGUCCAUGAUAUGUGGUGGAAGCCGUAUAUUAUAUUUUGGUUGUUAUUUUUAUUUUAUUUUAUUCGGUGUAGUUUAGAUAUGUUGAAAUGCAUGUUGUUUUUAUAAAUAAAUUUGGAUUGACAUUGGUGGAUAAAAAGAAUUAUAUAAUUAUGUUUUGUUGGUUUAGUAUAUGACCCUGUUUUAAUGUUUAAUUUUAUGGAAUUUUAGUUUAGAAAAACUGACGCAGGAAUUGUAUAAGCUAGCGUCUGGAAUCAAAAUAAAUUUACAUAUGCAGUAGGAAUAUAUAAAGAUGGUUUACUGUAAUAAUAAUUUUGAUUUGGAGAUGGUUGUAGUUUAAAGAUGAUUUUAUCUUUUAGGUUUAAUUUCAUUGUUGAAUUCUUAAUAGUUUAUGUGUGAUUGUAUAAGGUUUAAUUAAUAGUUUAUGAAAGCUGACCCAUUACACAUUAUCAAUAUGUAAUAGCAAAUGCACGGUUGAUAUUAAUUAUCCUAAUGCAUAGUAAUAUAGUUUAUUGUGGCUUGUCCAUAGUUUAUUGUGGCUUGUCCAGUGCAUAAAUAUUAUGGUAUGCAAUGAAUGUUGAUUUGACAACGUUUCUUUUUUUAUAAAUACCAUUAUUCAUGUGCAUUGUUUCAUUGGUAAAUUAAAUGGUUAUAUUUAUUAAAUCUGAUGCAUGUUUUUUUUAUUGUAAAUUAACAUGGAAUUAAGAAUUAAUAUUGUUAUCGUAUUCACUGGACAUAGGUCUAAUAAAGUUCUUAUAAUUGUGUGAGUAUUACGUAAAUUCCUUUUAUGUUAAUUUGCUUUGAGUGAAUGUUGAUGGAUUGUAAGGCAUGAUUUGAUGUUUACAGUACUGUAUUAUAACAUGUAUAUUGAUUGGUGUUAAAAGUGUUUGAGUACAGAGUGGAUGGAGUGUGAUUCAAGUUGGUAAUUCAAGUUUCAAAGUACGGAAUUUCUUGGUGAGAUUCUUAGUGUUUGGAAUGAGAGUAUGGGAAGCUCAGUCUUGGGGGUCAUCUUGACGCUCCAAUGGUCAAUCAAGCUCAUCUAGAGAGAUUGAACCAUGUGGUGAGGAGCAGCAGGAGGUCUUAGUCUCGAGGGCUCCCAGUAUGCUUCAAGGCGCGAAACAGGCUAACCUCGGUGGAGAACCCAAGUUUCAUAAGUCACCACGGGUGCAAGACUUGCCAUAGCUCGUCUUUCAUUCUAAGUCCAGACGAGUCAAGUCUAGAAUAUAACAUGUAUAGGAUGUGUGUUUUAUCUGAUUAAUAUUUUGCAUGUCUUAUAUAUACAAUUAGCUCAUCUUUGCAAUUGUUUGCCUGCUGUGUUGUGCCAUGUUGUGUGUGUUGCCCUUUUGCGAUGAUCAUCCAUUUUGGAUGUGAGCAGAAGAAGGAGAGACCUCCCUAGAGCAUGUAUUGGAGGAGCACGAGGAUGUUGCAGCAUAGAUUCCCUAGGGCCUUCUUAGUUCUUUAUGUUCUAUUGAAACACUUUUGUUCAAUUUAUUUUGAGAUACUUUCUAGAACUCUAAGCUUUUAAUUUUCAGCUAUUCCAAAGAUGAUUGUAAUCCUUUAUAGUUUAAUCACUCUUGACUGCUUUCCUUUAUUAUAAAUGAUGACAUCU